UACAGAGGGAGCAAGCGUUGUUCGGAAUUACUGGGCGUAAAGGGCGCGUAGGCGGUUCGAUAAGUCCCGUGUGAAAUCCCUCGGCUCAACUGAGGAAUGGCACGGGAAACUGACGGGCUUGAGUUCGGGAGAGGGAAGCGGAAUUCCGGGUGUAGCGGUGAAAUGCGUAGAUAUCCGGAGGAACACCGGUGGCGAAGGGGGCUUCCGGGACCGACACUGACGCUGAGGCGCGAAAGCGUGGGGAGCAAACGGG
rnacentral:rRNA from 1 species